UACGGGGGGGGCAAGCGUUGUUCGGAAUUACUGGGCGUAAAGGGCUCGUAGGCGGACAACUAAGUCAGACGUGAAAUCCCCAGGCUCAACCUGGGAACUGCGUCUGAUACUGAUUGUCUUGAAUCCGGGAGAGGGAUGCAGAAUUCCAGGUGUAGCGGUGAAAUGCGUAGAUAUCUGGAGGAAUACCGGUGGCGAAGGCGGCAUCCUGGACCGGCAUUGACGCUGAGGAGCGAAAGCCAGGGGAGCAAACGGG
rnacentral:rRNA from 1 species